rnacentral:rRNA from 1 species
UGGGGAAUAUUGCACAAUGGGGGAAACCCUGAUGCAGCGACGCCGCGUGAACGAAGAAGGUAUUCGUAUCGUAAAGUUCUGUUCUAUGGGAAGAUAAUGACAGUACCAUAGAAGAAAGCUCCGGCUAAAUACGUGCCAGCAGCCGCGGUAAUACGUAUGGAGCGAGCGUUGUCCGGAAUUAUUGGGCGUAAAGGGUACGCAGGCGGUUUAAUAAGUCGAAUGUUAAAGAUCGGGGCUCAACCCCGCAAAGCAUUGGAAACUGAUAAACUUGAGUAGUGGAGAGGAAAGUGGAAUUCCUAGUGUAGUGGUGAAAUACGUAGAUAUUAGGAGGAAUACCAGUAGCGAAGGCGACUUUCUGGACACAAACUGACGCUGAGGUACGAAAGCGUGGGGAGCAAACAGG